rnacentral:rRNA from 1 species
GAUGAAUGCUGGCGGCGUGCCUAAUACAUGCAAGUCGUACGGAAAGGCCCUUCGGGGUACUCGAGUGGCGGACGGCUGAGUAACGCGUGGGAACGUGCCCCAAAGUGAGGAAUAACUGCCCGAAAGGGUAGCUAAUGCCGCAUAUGGUCUUCGGAUUAAAGCUUCGGCGCUUUGGGAGCGGCCCGCGUACGAUUAGAUAGUUGGUGAGGUAAUGGCUCACCAAGUCGACGAUCGUUAGCUGGUCUGAGAGGAUGAUCAGCCAGACUGGAACUGAGACACGGUCCAGACUCCUACGGGAGGCAGCAGUAAGGAAUCUUCCACAAUGGGCGAAAGCCUGAUGGAGCAACGCCGCGUGCAGGAUGAAGGCCUUCGGGUCGUAAACUGCUUUAUAAGUGAAGAAUAUGACGGUAACUUAUGAAUAAGCACCGGCUAACUACGUGCCAGCCGCCGCAGUAA